rnacentral:rRNA from 1 species
GUCCUACGGGGCGCAGCAGUGGGGGAUAUUGCACAAUGGGGGAAACCCUGAUGCAGCGACGCCGCGUGUGGGAAGACGGUCCUCUGGAUUGUAAACCACUGUCCCCAAGGACGAAGAUGACGGUACCUGGGGAGGAAGCUCCGGCUAACUACGUGCCAGCAGCCGCGGUAAUACGUAGGGAGCGAGCGUUGUCCGGAAUUACUGGGCGUAAAGGGAGCGUAGACGGCUGUGCAAGUCUGAAGUGAAAGCCCAGGGCUCAACCCUGGGACUGCUUUGGAAACUGUGGAGCUAGAGUGCUGGAGAGG